rnacentral:tRNA from 1 species
GCCGGGAGCUCAGCUGGUCAGAGCAUCAGCCCGGUACGCCGAGGUUGCGGGUUCGAUUCCUGCUCAGGGCA